UACGGAAGGGGCAAGCGUUGUUCGGAAUCAUUGGGCGUAAAGGGCGCGUAGGUGGUCGUGUAUGUCUCCCGUGAAAGCCCACGGCUCAACCGUGGGGUGUCGGGAGAAACUGCAGGACUUGAGGCUGGGAGGGGCUGGUGGAAUUCCCUGUGUAGCGGUGAAAUGCGUAGAGAUGGGGGAGAACACUCGUGGCGAAGGCGGCCAGCUAGACCAGUUCUGACACUGAGGCGCGACAGCGUGGGGAGCAAACAGGAUUAGAUACCCCAGUAGUCC
rnacentral:rRNA from 1 species